GAUGAACGCUGGCGGCAUGCCUAAGACAUGCAAGUCGAACGAGAAGGCCCAAUGAUGAUUGCGUGCUUGCACAAAAUCUGAUUUGGAAUUUCCUUCUAGUGGCAAACGGGUGAGUAACACGUGGGUAACCUACCUCAAAGACUGGGACAACAGUUGGAAACGACUGCUAAUACCGGAUAAUCCAUAUUUAGACAACUAGAUAUGUUAAAAGAAGCGUUUGCUUCACUUUGAGAUGGGCUUGCGGCGCAUUAGAUAGUUGGUGGGUAAUGGCCUACCAAGUCGACGAUGCGUAUCCGAGCUGAGAGGCUGAUCGGACACACUGGGACUGAGACACGGCCCAGACUCCUACGGGAGACAGCAGUUAGGAAUAUUCGUCAAUGGGGGAAACCCUGAACGAGCAAUGCCGCGUGAGUGAUGAAGGCCCU
rnacentral:rRNA from 1 species